rnacentral:rRNA from 1 species
UACGUAGGGUGCGAGCGUUAAUCGGAAUUACUGGGCGUAAAGCGUGCGCAGGCGGUCUGUUAAGACCGAUGUGAAAUCCCCGGGCUUAACCUGGGAACUGCAUUGGUGACUGGCGAGGCUUUGAGUGUGGCAGAGGGAGGUAGAAUUCCACGUGUAGCAGUGAAAUGCGUAGAGAUGUGGAGGAAUACCGAUGGCGAAGGCAGCCUGCC